UCGCGAAGAAGGAUUCGGACAGUGCUCGGCCGGGGGAGCUCGCCGGUCGCCAGAAAAAGGAGGAGGAAGGAGAGGAGAGGAAGAGGAGGCGCUUGGUGGUGGUUCGAUUGCUAAGAGGUGGGAGAUUUAAGAGGGUUUUUCCGAAGGGGAUUAACUCGAGGAUGAGGGGGAUAAGCUCGGAAGGUAGUUGCUCCACCGCGAUUCUCGCGGCGGAUUAGCUUGAUCGAAGAGGAGGCUAGGCCUCCGACAGCGUCCGUGGAGGAGGACUCCUCCUCCUCCCCGUGUCGGGCCCUUCGAGAUUUUGGACGGAGUAGAAGAGAUCUUGGGAUCAAAGCAUGGUUGGAUCAUCAUAAGCACCCGGUGUUUGGGUUCCCAACAUUGGUUCGCUUCAGUUGGGGGACAUGCAACCCCUACUUCAAGGAUACAGUUGAAGUCAUCUGGGAGUCUGAUAAGCUGGAGGAGGAUGGCUCCAAUGAUAAUGGUGGUAAGCGGCAGUUGAAGUUGUCUAAUGUUGGUUUCACUGGAUAUAAAAAGAAAAGUGAGGAUAUUGAAUCUAGUGGUAAGGGUCGCUGUAAGUUCUUCCAGGCUCUUGAACUUGAGUUGGUUGCUAAUUUCUAGCAAUGCUGUCGACCCUGCCUUGUGGCUCAUUAACAUCAGGGCUUUAACUUGGCUUAGGCUUCCGAAUGUAAUUGUAAUCCAAGAUUACAUGUCAUGUGUGGCAGAUAUUAUACGAACAAGUUUUCAAUUCUUGUUUGGGGUU